GUGUCAGCAGCCGCGGUAAUACGUAGGUGGCGAGCGUUAUCCGGAUUUACUGGGCGUAAAGCGCGCGCAGGCGGCUGGCCAAGUCUGAUGUGAAAUCUUCCGGCUCAACUGGAAAAUGGCAUUAGAAACUGGCCGGCUGGAAGGUGGGAGAGGGCAGCGGAAUUCCCGGUGUAGUGGUGGAAUGCGUAGAUAUCGGGAGGAACACCAGUGGCGAAAGCGGCUGCCUGGCCCACUCUUGACGCUGAGGCGCGAAAGCUAGGGGAGCAAACGGGAUUAGAAACCCCCGUAGUCC
rnacentral:rRNA from 1 species